rnacentral:rRNA from 1 species
UGGCGACCGGCGCACGGGUGAGUAACACGUAUCCAACCUGCCGAUGACUCGGGGAUAGCCUUUCGAAAGAAAGAUUAAUACCCGAUGGCAUAGUUCUUCCGCAUGGUAGAACUAUUAAAGAAUUUCGGUCAUUGAUGGGGAUGCGUUCCAUUAGGUUGUUGGCGGGGUAACGGCCCACCAAGCCUUCGAUGGAUAGGGGUUCUGAGAGGAAGGUCCCCCACAUUGGAACUGAGACACGGUCCAA